CCGCCUGGAAAUGGAAGAGACACCUAAUUAGCUGUCUACAGUCUUGCAAUCGUAUAGGAAGGCUUCUCUUAAAUAUAGACUGUUAAACUUCCUUUAACAUUUGACUAUCUGUUAAACUUAACGCUCCUAUUAACAGCAGCAUGUUAUGUUGUGAAGCAUGUUAUAAUCCUUAACAGCUCUCAUUAACUUGAUAGUUAGGUACAGGCUUUUAUUUUAAGCAUUUCUCUUUAGAUAAAUUGAAAUUUCAGUUCAUUUGAUAGCAAAAAUCCGGCUAAAUGGUUGGCCAUAAAAAUUAGAAGCCUUACAAAACCUUGGUGCCAGGUGGACGCGCACGCGAAUAUAUCGAUUAAGAAUCAACCAACAAGUUUUUGGGCGAAAGGGUAACACAAAGUUACGAUGUGUGAGCGCCAAUUGAAAUUUAGGUGCCAGUCGGCGUCUGGUACGAAUAGCGACCCACACAUGAGCAGGCGGCGAAAAGUUUGUACCUUUUUGUUUUUUUUUCUUUUUUGGGCCUGCGGCAUUGCGUGUGCCACCCACUUUUAACACAUACAACAUGGAGAGUUCUUGAACUUUACAGAUGGAGAUAUGGCAGAGGAAUAGAGCGUGCCACCAGCUGGCCGUAACAAGGCUGGAGCCCACAUCGAGUGACAGUGACACGUGCUUUGCAUGCAAGCACAUCAUAAAAGACCAGAACAAGCUAUAUGAAACAUUGCCGACUGACUAUCCAUGCCCCAAGUUCCGCUGCAUGGAUCAAUGCGAAGGCAAAAAUGAGGCAAUCUUCCAUGUGGGGCGUUUUUUGGGCCUGUCUUUUAAUUGAUUACGAGCCAGGUGCAUGCAAUUUAGCAAUGCCAAAAAAGUAUAUACAUAAAUAUAUAGCCAUAUCGCACACGUUUGACCUUAGUUGUCACGGCAAAA